GGUUAAGCGACUAAGCGUACACGGUGGAUGCCCUGGCAGUCAGAGGCGAUGAAGGACGUGCUAAUCUGCGAUAAGCGUCGGUAAGGUGAUAUGAACCGUUAUAACCGGCGAUUUCCGAAUGGGGAAACCCAGUGUGUUUCGACACACUAUCAUUAACUGAAUCCAUAGGUUAAUGAGGCGAACCGGGGGAACUGAAACAUCUAAGUACCCCGAGGAAAAGAAAUCAACCGAGAUUCCCCCAGUAGCGGCGAGCGAACGGGGAGCAGCCCAGAGCCUGAAUCAGUGUGUGUGUUAGUGGAAGCGUCUGGAAAGGCGCGCGAUACAGGGUGACAGCCCCGUACACAAAAAUGCACAUACUGUGAGCUCGAUGAGUAGGGCGGGACACGUGGUAUCCUGUCUGAAUAUGGGGGACCAUCCUCCAAGGCUAAAUACUCCUGACUGACCGAUAGUGAACCAGUACCGUGAGGGAAAGGCGAAAAGAACCCCGGCGAGGGGAGUGAAAAAGAACCUGAAACCGUGUACGUACAAGCAGUGGGAGCACGCUUCGGCGUGUGACUGCGUACCUUUUGUAUAAUGGGUCAGCGACUUAUAUUCUGUAGCAAGGUUAACCGAAUAGGGGAGCCGAAGGGAAACCGAGUCUUAACUGGGCGUUAAGUUGCAGGGUAUAGACCCGAAACCCGGUGAUCUAGCCAUGGGCAGGUUGAAGGUUGGGUAACACUAACUGGAGGACCGAACCGACUAAUGUUGAAAAAUUAGCGGAUGACUUGUGGCUGGGGGUGAAAGGCCAAUCAAACCGGGAGAUAGCUGGUUCUCCCCGAAAGCUAUUUAGGUAGCGCCUCGUGAAUUCAUCUCCGGGGGUAGAGCACUGUUUCGGCAAGGGGUCAUCCCGACUUACCAACCCGAUGCAAACUGCGAAUACCGGAGAAUGUUAUCACGGGAGACACACGGCGGGUGCUAACGUCCGUCGUGAAGAGGGAAACAACCCAGACCGCCAGCUAAGGUCCCAAAGUCAUGGUUAAGUGGGAAACGAUGUGGGAAGGCCCAGACAGCCAGGAUGUUGGCUUAGAAGCAGCCAUCAUUUAAAGAAAGCGUAAUAGCUCACUGGUCGAGUCGGCCUGCGCGGAAGAUGUAACGGGGCUAAACCAUGCACCGAAGCUGCGGCAGCGACACUAUGUGUUGUUGGGUAGGGGAGCGUUCUGUAAGCCUGUGAAGGUGUACUGUGAGGUAUGCUGGAGGUAUCAGAAGUGCGAAUGCUGACAUAAGUAACGAUAAAGCGGGUGAAAAGCCCGCUCGCCGGAAGACCAAGGGUUCCUGUCCAACGUUAAUCGGGGCAGGGUGAGUCGCCCCCUAAGGCGAGGCCGAAAGGCGUAGUCGAUGGGAAACAGGUUAAUAUUCCUGUACUUGGUGUUACUGCGAAGGGGGGACGGAGAAGGCUAUGUUGGCCGGGCGACGGUUGUCCCGGUUUAAGCGUGUAGGCUGGUUUUCCAGGCAAAUCCGGAAAAUCAAGGCUGAGGCGUGAUGACGAGGCACUACGGUGCUGAAGCAACAAAUGCCCUGCUUCCAGGAAAAGCCUCUAAGCAUCAGGUAACAUUAAAUCGUACCCCAAACCGACACAGGUGGUCAGGUAGAGAAUACCAAGGCGCUUGAGAGAACUCGGGUGAAGGAACUAGGCAAAAUGGUGCCGUAACUUCGGGAGAAGGCACGCUGAUAUGUAGGUGAAGUCCCUCGCGGAUGGAGCUGAAAUCAGUCGAAGAUACCAGCUGGCUGCAACUGUUUAUUAAAAACACAGCACUGUGCAAACACGAAAGUGGACGUAUACGGUGUGACGCCUGCCCGGUGCCGGAAGGUUAAUUGAUGGGGUUAGCGGUAACGCGAAGCUCUUGAUCGAAGCCCCGGUAAACGGCGGCCGUAACUAUAACGGUCCUAAGGUAGCGAAAUUCCUUGUCGGGUAAGUUCCGACCUGCACGAAUGGCGUAAUGAUGGCCAGGCUGUCUCCACCCGAGACUCAGUGAAAUUGAACUCGCUGUGAAGAUGCAGUGUACCCGCGGCAAGACGGAAAGACCCCGUGAACCUUUACUAUAGCUUGACACUGAACAUUGAGCCUUGAUGUGUAGGAUAGGUGGGAGGCUUUGAAGUGUGGACGCCAGUCUGCAUGGAGCCGACCUUGAAAUACCACCCUUUAAUGUUUGAUGUUCUAACGUUGACCCGUGAUCCGGGUUGCGGACAGUGUCUGGUGGGUAGUUUGACUGGGGCGGUCUCCUCCUAAAGAGUAACGGAGGAGCACGAAGGUUGGCUAAUCCUGGUCGGACAUCAGGAGGUUAGUGCAAUGGCAUAAGCCAGCUUGACUGCGAGCGUGACGGCGCGAGCAGGUGCGAAAGCAGGUCAUAGUGAUCCGGUGGUUCUGAAUGGAAGGGCCAUCGCUCAACGGAUAAAAGGUACUCCGGGGAUAACAGGCUGAUACCGCCCAAGAGUUCAUAUCGACGGCGGUGUUUGGCACCUCGAUGUCGGCUCAUCACAUCCUGGGGCUGAAGUAGGUCCCAAGGGUAUGGCUGUUCGCCAUUUAAAGUGGUACGCGAGCUGGGUUUAGAACGUCGUGAGACAGUUCGGUCCCUAUCUGCCGUGGGCGCUGGAGAACUGAGGGGGCUGCUCCUAGUACGAGAGGACCGGAGUGGACGCAUCACUGGUGUUCGGGUUGUCAUGCCAAUGGCACUGCCCGGUAGCUAAAUGCGGAAGAGAUAAGUGCUGAAAGCAUCUAAGCACGAAACUUGCCCCGAGAUGAGUUCUCCCUGACUCCUUGAGAGUCCUGAAGGAACGUUGAAGACGACGACGUUGAUAGGCCGGGUGUGUAAGCGCAGCGAUGCGUUGAGCUAACCGGUACUAAUGAACCGUGAGGCUUAACCUU
rnacentral:rRNA from 1 species